GCCAUUUGGGUGCUAUUAAGGUGCCAUUUCAGUGCUACUUUGGUGUAGUUUUGGUGUUAUUUCUGAGGCAUUUUGGUGUCAUUUUGGUGCAGUUUUGGUGUCAUUUAGGUGCAAUUUUCAGUGCCAUUUUGGUGCAAUUCUGGCCCUGUUUUGGUGCCAUUUUGGGGCCAUUUGGGUCCCAUUUUGGUGCCAUUUAGGUGCUAUUAAGGUGCCGUUUUGGUGCCAUUUCUGUGCUACUUUUGGUGUAGUUUUGGUGUUAUUUCUGAGGCAUUUUGGUGCAAUUUUGGUGCCAUUUAGGUGCAAUUUUCAGUGCCAUUUUGGUGCAAUUUUGGGGCCAUUUGGAUGCUAUUAAGGUGUCAUUUUGGUGCCAUGUCAGUGCUACUUUGGUGUAGUUUUGGUGUCAUUUUGGUGCCAUUUUGGUGCAAUUUUCAGUGCCAUUUUGGUGCCAUUCUGGCCCUAUUUGGGUGCCAUUUUGGUGCCAUUCUGGCCCUGUUUUGGUGCCAUUUUGGUGCUAUUCUGGUGUUAUUUCAGUCCAUUUUGGUGCCAUUUGGGUUCUAUUCUGUCUUUCUCCUGGUGCCAUUUUGGUGCUGUUCUGAUGCUGUUCUGGUACCAUUUUAGUGCCAUUUGGGCUCCAUUUUUAUUCUAUUUGGACCCAUUUGGUCCCAUUUUGGUGCCAUUUCAGUCCCAUUUCAGCCCCAUUUUGGUCCCAUUUCAGCCCCAUUUUGGUCCCAUUUCAGCCCCAUUUCAGCCCCAUUCUGGUCCCAUUUCAGUCCCAUUUUGCUCCAAUUCUGGUCCCAUUUCAGUCCCAUUUCAGCCCAUUUUGAUCCCAUUUUGGCCCCAUUUCAGCCCCAUAAGUUUCCAUUUCUUUUCCUCUUACACUCAGUGACUCAUUUCCCCCCCUCCCCUCCCAUUCCAGCCCCAUUUCAGCCCCAUUUUGAUCCCAUUCCAGCCCCAUUUCAGGCCCAUUUUAUUCCCAUUCUGGUCCCAUUUUGCUAUUUUGGUGCCAUUUUGGUGCCAUUUCAGCUCCAUUUUGGUCCCAUUUCAGCUCCAUUUUGCUCCAGUUCUGGUCCCAUUUCAGUCCCAUUUUGCUCCCAUUUCGAUGCUAUUUUGAUCCCAUUUCGGUGCCGUUUCAGCCCCAUAAGUUUCCAUUUCUUUUACCACUUUCAGUGACUCAUUUCCCCCCCCCCCCUCCCAUUUCAGCCCCAUUUCAGCCUCAUUUUGCUCCCAUUUCAGCCCCAUUUCAGCCCCAUUCUGGUCCCAUUCCAGUCCCAUUUUGCUCCCAUUUCGAUGCUAUUUUACUCCCAUUUUCGGCCCAUUUCAGCCCCAUUUUGGCCCCAUUUCAGCCCCAUAAGUUUCCAUUUCUUUUCCUCCUACACUCAGUGACUCAUUUCCCCCCCUCCCCUCCCAUUUUAGCCCCAUUCUGGUCCCAUUUCAGCCUCAUUUUGGUCCCAUUUUGCUCCUAUUUUAGCCCCAUUUCAGCCCCAUUUUGGUCCCAUUUUAACCCCAUUUCAGCCCCAUUUUGGUCCCAUUUCAGCCCCAUUCUGGUCCCAUUUUGCUAUUUUGGUGGCAUUUUGGUCCCAUUUCAGCCCCAUUUUGGUCCCAUUUCAGCUCCAUUUUACUCCAGUUCUGGCCCCAUUUCAGUCCCAUUUUGCUCCCAUUUCGAUGCUAUUUUACUCCCAUUUUGGUGCCAUUUUGGUCCCAUUUCGGCCCCAUUUCAGCCCCAUAAGUUUCCAUUUCGUUUCCUCCUACACUCAGUGACUCAUUUCCCCCUAUUUAUCCCCAUCUCUGUUUAUUCCCGUUACCAUGGACCCCCCUUAUUUCCCCUAUUUCCCCCUAUAUCUCUGUUUAUCCCCGUUCCCAUGGACCCCCCCCUAUUUCCCCCUAUAUCUCAGUUUAUCCCCGUUCCCAUGGACCCCCCCUAUUUCCCCCCCCCGUUUGUAGCCCCGCGGUCGCGGUUUCUGGGCCGGGUCCUUUGGGGGGGGGGCGGUGACUCACGGAACCGCAGGAAGCGCCGACGGGGGCACACUCACACACCGGGAAUGUGGGGGGAGGGAGGGGGCACCGUAUGGGGCACCGCAGUGUGCUAUGGGGCACUAUAAUGUGCUAUGGGGUACUGCUAUGGGGCACCGCUAUGGGGCACUGCUAUGGGGCACCAUAAUGUGCUAUGGGGCAUCACAGUGUGCUAUGGGGCACUGCUAUGGGGCACCAUAAUGUGCUAUGGGGUACUGCUAUGGGGGACCAUAAUGUGCUAUGGGGCACCAUAAUGUGCUAUGGGGUACUGCUAUGGGGUACUGCUAUGGGGCACC
rnacentral:lncRNA from 1 species